UCGCCAUUUUGAGAGUGGCUGGUCAUGGAGAAGCAGAGCUCAGAAGAGCAUAAGCACUUGCUUGAUUUGAUCAACAGGGAAGCAUAAGGCUGGCUCAGAUAUUAGCUCUUCUACUCCCCUCAUUGCAGGUGCUGAUUUCCCCCACCUUGUGUUACUGCAUUUGUUUUGUUACUGCUGAAUUACCUUCGGUUUGCCUUUGAUUCGAUGCCUGCUAUGCUCCUAUCAAUGCAUCUUGUUCCAAAACUAAGAAUACUGAAUUUGCUAUUUCCCCAGCCACCCUGGUUCUCCAACAGCAGUGAGUACAUGGCAUGGUUUGUAUAGCUCGUCAUAAAAUGGACUGGUCAAAAGAAGGAGGGAAACAAGGAAUGGACAAACAUAUGUGUUAUCUGACUUCUGAAACAAGAUGGAGGCAU